UACGAAGGGGGCUAGCGUUGCUCGGAAUCACUGGGCGUAAAGCGCACGUAGGCGGCUUUCUAAGUCAGGGGUGAAAUCCUGGAGCUCAACUCCAGAACUGCCUUUGAUACUGGAGAGCUCGAGUCCGGAAGAGGUGAGUGGAACUGCGAGUGUAGAGGUGAAAUUCGUAGAUAUUCGCAAGAACACCAGUGGCGAAGGCGGACUCACUGGUCCGGUACUGACGCUGAGGUGCGAAAGCGAUGGGAGCAAGCUAGGGGA
rnacentral:rRNA from 1 species